CCCUUAGAUGUUCUGGGCCGCACGCGCGCUACACUGAUGCAUUCAACGAGUCUAAAACCUGCUCUGAUAGGGGUGGGUAAUCUUUUGAAUGUGCAUCGUGAUUGGGAUAGAUGAUUGCAAUUUUUCAUCUUCAACGAGGAAUGCCUAGUAAACGCAAGUCAUCAGCUUGCAUUGAUUACGUCCCUGCCCUUUGUACACACCGCCCGUCGCUCCUACCGGUUGAGUGAUCCGGUGAAUAAUUCGGACUGCAGCACUGCUUGGUCUCCAGGCUUUGCAGCGGAAAGUUUAGUGAACCUUAUCACUUAGAGGAAGGAGAAGUCGUAACA
rnacentral:rRNA from 1 species